UGUAUUUAUUCCUUGUGCUCAACAAUGUCAUUGCUGAGUAGAGGACAAGCUGUAUGCAAAGCUAGGAGAAGACUCGCUUUCUAGUCCUUGGAUGGAAGUCAGCACACAGCCUGAGGCAACAAGUGGCCUGAAAUACUAUGCGGAGUUCUGGGAUAAAGACGAAAAGUGUGGUAUCCUAAAAGUUCGUGUAUCAGGCGAAGAUCAGUUCGAAAAGCACGUAUGGGAUAGUAAGGUUGAUGGAGAACAAUCAAAGUGCGAUGAGAAAUACAAAGAGUUAACUACCGGAAAAACAUCACACACCAUUU
rnacentral:lncRNA from 1 species